rnacentral:misc_RNA from 1 species
GGAAGUAAAGUCGUAACAAGGUUUCCGUAGGUGAACCUGCGGAAGGAUCAUUCAUAAUAAAGUGUUUUAUGGCACUUUUUAAAAAUCCAUAUCCACCUUGUGUGCAAUGUUAGAUCUCGUCAAUCUUGGCGAGGUUUUUAUACAUCAACUCAUUCUUUAACUAAUUCGUCUGAAAAAUAUUAUGAAUACUUAAUUCAAAAUACAACUUUCAACAACGGAUCUCUUGGCUCUC